UAUAUCUAGAGUUGAGUGACUAAUAGUGUAUGUAGUACUAUGAAGGAAAAAUAUGAAACUGAAUUAUAGAGAAAGUGUUCUCUUUAAACUGC
rnacentral:rRNA from 1 species